AGAGUUCGAUCCUGGCUCAGGAUGAACGCUGGCGGCGCGCCUAACACAUGCAAGUCGAACGGCACCCCUCUCCGGAGGGAAGCGAGUGGCGAACGGCUGAGUAACACGUGGAGAACCUGCCCCCUCCCCCGGGAUAGCCGCCCGAAAGGACGGGUAAUACCGGAUACCCCGGGGUGCCGCAUGGCACCCCGGCUAAAGCCCCGACGGGAGGGGAUGGCUCCGCGGCCCAUCAGGUAGACGGCGGGGUGACGGCCCACCGUGCCGACAACGGGUAGCCGGGUUGAGAGACCGACCGGCCAGAUUGGGACUGAGACACGGCCCAGACUCCUACGGGAGGCAGCAGUGGGGAAUCUUGCGCAAUGGGGGGAACCCUGACGCAGCGACGCCGCGUGCGGGACGGAGGCCUUCGGGUCGUAAACCGCUUUCAGCAGGGAAGAGUCAAGACUGUACCUGCAGAAGAAGCCCCGGCUAACUACGUGCCAGCAGCCGCGGUAAUACGUAGGGGGCGAGCGUUAUCCGGAUUCAUUGGGCGUAAAGCGCGCGCAGGCGGCCCGGCAGGCCGGGGGUCGAAGCGGGGGGCUCAACCCCCCGAAGCCCCCGGAACCUCCGCGGCUUGGGUCCGGUAGGGGAGGGUGGAACACCCGGUGUAGCGGUGGAAUGCGCAGAUAUCGGGUGGAACACCGGUGGCGAAGGCGGCCCUCUGGGCCGAGACCGACGCUGAGGCGCGAAAGCUGGGGGAGCGAACAGGAUUAGAUACCCUGGUAGUCCCAGCCGUAAACGAUGGACGCUAGGUGUGGGGGGACGAUCCCCCCGUGCCGCAGCCAACGCAUUAAGCGUCCCGCCUGGGGAGUACGGCCGCAAGGCUAAAACUCAAAGGAAUUGACGGGGGCCC
rnacentral:rRNA from 1 species